AGAGCGAAUGCUGGCGGCAGGCCUAACACAUGCAAGUCGAGCGCCCGUAGCAAUACGGGAGCGGCAGACGGGAUAGUAACACGUGGGAACGCGCCCUUCGGUUCGGAAUAACUCAGGGAAACUUGAGCUAAUACCGGAUACGCCCUUACGGGGAAAGAUUUAUUGCCGAAGGAACGGCCCGCGUCCGAUUAGCUAGUUGGUGAGGUAAUGGCUCACCAAGGCGACGAUCGGUAGCUGGUCUGAGAGGAUGACCAGCAUCACUGGGACUGAGACACGGCCCAGACUCCUACGGGAGGCAGCAGUGGGGAAUAUUGGACAAUGGGCGCAAGCCUGAUCCAGCCAUGCCGCGUGAAUGAUGAAGGCCUUAGGGUUGUAAAGUCCUUUUAACGGGGAAGAUAAUGACGGUACCCGUAGAAUAAGCCCGGCUAACUUCGUGCCAGCAGCCGC
rnacentral:rRNA from 1 species